GUGGGGAAUUUUGGACAAUGGGCGCAAGCCUGAUCCAGCAAUGCCGCGUGCAGGAAGAAGGCCUUCGGGUUGUAAACUGCUUUUGUACGGAACGAAACGGUCCGGGUUAAUACCCUGGGCUAAUGACGGUACCGUAAGAAUAAGCACCGGCUAACUACGUGCCAGCAGCCGCGGUAAUACGUAGGGUGCAAGCGUUAAUCGGAAUUACUGGGCGUAAAGCGUGCGCAGGCGGUUUUGUAAGACAGGCGUGAAAUCCCCGGGCUCAACCUGGGAAUUGCGCUUGUGACUGCAAGGCUGGAGGGCGGCAGAGGGGGAUGGAAUUCCGCGUGUAGCAGUGAAAUGCGGAGAUAUGCGGAGGAACACCGAUGGCGAAGGCAAUCCCCUGGGCCUGCACUGACGCUCAUGCACGAAAGCGUGGGGAGCAAACAGGAUUAGAUACCCCGGUAGUCC
rnacentral:rRNA from 1 species